CGUCCCGUAGCUCAAUAGCAGAGCCCCCGGUUGAUAACCGGAAGACGCAGGAGCGUUACCUGCCGGGACGACCA
rnacentral:tRNA from 1 species